rnacentral:rRNA from 1 species
GACGAACGCUGGCGGCGCGCCUAACACAUGCAAGUCGAGCGAGAACCAGGGCUUCGGCCCUGGGGACAGCGGCGAACGGGUGAGUAACACGUGGAUAACCUGCCCUCGGCACCGGAAUAGCCCGAGGAAACUCGGAUUAAUGCCGGAUAGCCCCACAUCCCUGCGGGGAACGUGGGAAAAGGUAGCUUCGGCCUCUGGCCGGGGAUGGGUCCGCGGUGGAUUAGCUUGUUGGCGGGGUAACGGCCCACCAAGGCGACGAUCCAUAGCUGGUCUGAGAGGAUGAUCAGCUACACUGGGACUGAGACACGGCCCAGACUCCUACGGGAGGCAGCAGUGGGGAAUCUUGCGCAAUGGGCGAAAGCCUGACGCAGCGACGCCGCGUGCGGGAAGAAGGCCUUCGGGUUGUAAACCGCUUUCAGGAGGGACGAAGCCACUCGGGUUAAUAGCCCAGAGGGUGACGGUACCUCCAGAAGAAGCCCCGGCUAACUACGUGCCAGCCGCCGCCGUAAUAC